rnacentral:rRNA from 1 species
UACGGAGGGUGCGAGCGUUGUCCGGAUUUAUUGGGUUUAAAGGGUGCGUAGGCGGCCCGUUAAGUCAGCGGUGAAAUCCCACGGCUCAACCGUGGAACUGCCGUUGAUACUGGCGGGCUUGAGUACAGACGAGGCAGGCGGAAUUGAUGGUGUAGCGGUGAAAUGCAUAGAUACCAUCAGGAACCCCGAUUGCGAAGGCAGCUUGCUAGGCUGUGACUGACGCUGAGGCACGAAAGCGUGGGGAGCGAACAGG